rnacentral:rRNA from 1 species
UACGGAGGGUGCAAGCGUUGUUCGGAAUUACUGGGCGUAAAGCGCGCGCAGGCGGCGCGAUAAGACCGGCGUGAAAGCCCCCGGCUCAACCGGGGAGGGUCGUUGGUGACUGUCGCGCUUGAAGGCAGCAGGGGUGAGUGGAAUUCACGGUGUAGUGGUGAAAUGCGUAGAGAUCGGAAGGAACACCAGUGGCGAAGGCGACUGUCUGGCCAGAUACUGACGCUGAGGCGCGAAAGCGUGGGGAGCAAACAGG